ACGACUCUCGACAACGGAUAUCUCGGCUCUCGCAUCGAUGAAGAACGUAGCGAAAUGCGAUACUUGGUGUGAAUUGCAGAAUCCCGUGAACCAUCGAGUCUUUGAACGCAAGUUGCGCCCGAAGCCAAUAGGCCGAGGGCACGCCUGCCUGGGUGUCACGC
rnacentral:rRNA from 1 species